CACGUUAAGGUGGGCACUCUAAGGAGACUGCCGGUGACAAACCGGAGGAAGGUGGGGAUGACGUCAAGUCAUCAUGGCCCUUACGGCCUGGGCUACACACGUGCUACAAUGGUCGGUACAAAGGGUUGCCAAGCCGCGAGGUGGAGCUAAUACCCAUAAAACCGAUCGUAGUCCGGAUCGCAGUCUGCAACUCGACUGCGUGAAGUCGGAAUCGCUAGUAAUCGUGAAUCAGAAUGUCACGGUCGAAUACGUUCCCGGGCCCUU
rnacentral:rRNA from 1 species